GUGCUCGCUUUGGCAGCACAUGUACUAAAAUUGGAACAUUAUAAAGAAGACUAGCAUGGCCUCUGAGCAAGGAUGACAUGCAAAUUCAUGAAGCAUUCCAUAUUUGG
ensembl:snRNA U6 U6 spliceosomal RNA